rnacentral:rRNA from 1 species
UGGGGAAUAUUGGACAAUGGGGGCAACCCUGAUCCAGCAAUGCCGCGUGUGUGAAGAAGGCCUGCGGGUUGUAAAGCACUUUCAGUAGAGAAGAAAAGCCUAAGGUUAAUAACCUUGAGUCUUGACGUAACCUACAGAAGAAGCACCGGCUAACUCCGUGCCAGCAGCCGCGGUAAUACGGAGGGUGCAAGCGUUAAUCGGAAUUACUGGGCGUAAAGCGCACGUAGGUGGUUUUGUAAGUCGGAUGUGAAAGCCCUGGGCUCAACCUGGGAAUUGCAUUCGAUACUGCUUAACUAGAGUAUGGUAGAGGGAAGUGGAAUUUCCGGUGUAGCGGUGAAAUGCGUAGAUAUCGGAAGGAACACCAGUGGCGAAGGCGACUUCCUGGGCCAAUACUGACACUGAGGUGCGAAAGCGUGGGUAGCAAACAGGAUUAGAUACCCUAGUAGUCCCUGAGCGGGCUGGCAAGGCGCAU